rnacentral:misc_RNA from 1 species
UCUCCGUAGGUGAACCUGCGGAGGGAUCAUUACAGAGUUCAUGCCCUACCGGGUAGAUCUCCCACCCUAUGUUAUUAUUACCUUGUUGCUUUGGCGGGCCGUUAGGCUCCGGCCCGACUACCGGCCCCGGCUGGUAAGCGCCCGCCAGAGGACCCAAAACCCUGAAUAUUAGUGUCGUCUGAGUACUAUAUAAUAGUUAAAACUUUCAACAACGGAUCUCUUGGUUCUG